UACGGGGGGAGCAAGCGUUGUUCGGAUUUACUGGGCGUAAAGGGCGCGUAGGCGGUCAGCACAAGUCAGUUGUGAAAUCUCCGGGCUUAACUCGGAAAGGUCAACUGAUACUGUGCGACUAGAGUGCGGAAGGGGCAACUGGAAUUCUCGGUGUAGCGGUGAAAUGCGUAGAUAUCGAGAGGAACACCUGCGGCGAAGGCGGGUUGCUGGGCCGACACUGACGCUGAUGCGCGAAAGCCAGGGGAGCGAAUGGG
rnacentral:rRNA from 1 species